UUUUUAUAAAGAAAAUAUAAAAAAUUAAAUAAACAAUUUCAAAAAAUAAAAAAAUAUUUUCCUUUUAUUUUGGUGGGGUCGCAAUGACCAUGCUUGGGUGACUGCUUACCAAAAACACAAGUCUCCGCAAAGUCGUAAGACCAUGUAUGGGGGUUGACGCUUGCCCAGUAUCGGAAGGUCAAAGAAGUUGGUGACUUGAUGACAAGGGAGCCGACGACCGAAGCCCCGGUGAACAGCGGCCGUAACUAUAACAGUCCUAAGGUAAUGAAAUUCCUUGUUGGGUAAGUUUCGACCCACUCGAAAGACGUAACGAUCUAGGCAUGGUCUCGAAGAGAGA
rnacentral:ncRNA from 1 species